CCUACGGGAGGCAGCAGUGAGGAAUAUUGGUCAAUGGGCGCGAGCCUGAUCCAGCCAAGUCGCGUGAGGGAAGACGGUUCUAUGGAUUGUACACCUCUUUUGUCGGGGAGCAAAAGACGCCACGCGUGGCGUUCCGAGAGUACCCGAAGAAAAAGCAUCGGCUAACUCCGUGCCAGCAGCCGAGGUACUACGGAGGAUGCGAGCGUUAUCCGGAUUUAUUGGGGUUAAAGGGUGCGCAGGCGGAAGAUCAAGUCAGCGGUAAAAUUGAGAGGCUCAACCUCUUCGAGCCGUAGAAACUGGUGUUCUUGAGUGAGUGAGAGGUAUGCGGAAGGCGAGGUGUAGCGGUGGAAUGCAUAGAUAUCACGCAGAACUCCGAUGGCGAAGGCAGCAUACCGGCGCGCAACUGACGCUCAUGCACGAAAGUGUGGGUAUCGAACAGGAUUAGAUACCCUUGUAGUC
rnacentral:rRNA from 1 species